GAUGAACGCUGGCGGCGUGCCUAAUACAUGCAAGUCGAGCGAACAGAUGAGGAGCUUGCUCCUCUGACGUUAGCGGCGGACGGGUGAGUAACACGUGGAUAACCUACCUAUAAGACUGGGAUAACUUCGGGAAACCGGAGCUAAUACCGGAUAAUAUAUUGAACCGCAUGGUUCAAUAGUGAAAGACGGUUUUGCUGUCACUUAUAGAUGGAUCCGCGCCGCAUUAGCUAGUUGGUAAGGUAACGGCUUACCAAGGCAACGAUGCGUAGCCGACCUGAGAGGGUGAUCGGCCACACUGGAGCUGAGACGCGGUCCAGACUCCUACGGGAGGCAGCAGUAGGGAAUCUUCCGCAAGGGGCGAAAGCCUGACGGAGCAACGCCGCGUGAGUGAUGAAGGUCUUCGGAUCGUAAAACUCUGUUAUUAGGGAAGAACAAAUGUGUAAGUAACUAUGCACGUCUGGACGGUACCUAAUCAGAAAGCCACGGCUAACUACGU
rnacentral:rRNA from 1 species